AUUGAACGCUGGCGGCAGGCCUAACACAUGCAAGUCGAGCGAGCGGCGGACGGGUGAGUCAUGUAUGGGGACUGCCCGAUAGAGGGGGAUAACUACUGGAAACGGUAGCUAAUACCGCAUACUAUCGGAGAACCCAUCUGGGAUUAGCUAGUAGGUGAGGUAAGGGGUCACGUCGGCGACGAUCCCUAGCUGGUCUGAGAGGAUGAUCAGCCACACUGGGACGUAGACACGGCCCAGACUCCUACGGAGUCAGCAGGGGGGAAUAUUGCACAAGUGGCGCAAGCCUGAUGCAGCCAUGCCGCGGGUAUGAAGAAGGCCCUAGGGUUGUAAAGUACUUUCAGUCGGGAGGCGUUACCGACAGAAGAAGCACCGGCUAACUCCGUGCCAGCAGCCGCGGUAAUUC
rnacentral:rRNA from 1 species